rnacentral:lncRNA from 1 species
AUGCACACCUGUGAUCCCCUGCAGACUCACCCAUCUCGGCGUGUCCUCAUCCGUCUCGGCGUGUCCUCACCCGUCUUGGCAUGUCCUCACCUGUGUCUCGGCGUGUCCUCACCUGUGUCUUGGCGUGUCCUCGCCCAUCUCGGCGUGUCCUCGCCCAUCUCAGCGUGUCUGUCUCGGCGUGUCCUCACCCAUCUCGGCAUGUCCUCGCCCGUCUCGGCGUGUCCUCGCCCGUCUCGGCGUGUCCUCACCUGUGUCUGGCCUGUUCUUACCCGUCUCGGUCCUCGCCUGUCUCGGGCGUGUCCUCACCUGUGUCUCGGCGUGUCCUCGCCCAUCUCGGCGUGUCCUCACCUGUGUCUCGGCGUCUCCUCGCCUGUCUCGGUGUGUCCUCACCUGUGUCUUGGCGUGUCCUCGCUCGUCUCGGCAUGUCCUCACUUGUGUCUCGGCGUGUCCUCGCGCGUCUCGGCGUGUCCUCGCCCGUCUCGGCGUGUCCUCACCUGUGUCUCGGCAUGUCCUCGCCCGUCUUGGCAUGUCCUUACUUGUGUCUCGGCGGGUCCUCACCUGUGCCUGUGUCUCGGCGUGUCCUCACCUGUGUCUCGGCGUGUCCUCACGCGUCUCGGCGUGUCCUCACCUGUGUCUCGGCAUGUCCUCGCGCGUCUCGGCGUGUCCUCGCCCGUCUCGGCGUGUCCUCACCUGUGUCUUGCCAUGUCCUCGCCCGUCUUGGCAUGUCCUUACUUGCGCUUGGCUUUUCCUCACCUGUGUCUCGGCGUGUCCUCGCCCGUCUCGGCAUGUCCUCACCUGUGUCUGGCGUGUUCUUACCCGUCUUGGUAUGUCCUCACCUGUGCCUGGCAUGUUCUUACCCGUCUUGGCAUGUCCUCACCUGUGUCUCGGCGUGUCAUCGCCCGUCUCAGCGUGUCCUCACCUGUGUCUCGGCGUGCCCUCGCCCGUCUCAGCGUGUCCUCACCUGUGUCUCGGCGUGUCCUCGCCCGUCUCGGUGUGUCCUCACCUCUGUCUCGGCGUGUCCUCGCCUGUCUCGGCGUGUCCUCACCUGUGUCUCGGCGUGUCCUCGCCCGUCUCGGCAUGUCCUUACUUGUGUCUCGGCAUGUCCUCGCCCGUCUCAGCGUGUUCUCACCUGUGUCGGCGUCUCCUCGCCUGUCUCGGCGUGUCCUCACCUGUGUCUUGGCGUGUCCUCGCUCGUCUCGGCAUGUCCUCACCUGUGUCUCGGCGUGUCCCCUCCCGUCUCGGCGUGUCCUCACCUGUGUCUCGGCAUGUCCUCGCGCGUCUCGGCGCGUCCUCACCUGUGUCUUGGCGUGUCCUCACCUGUCUCGGCGUGCCCUCACCUGUCUCGGCGUCCUCUGCUGCUUCUGUCAUCCGCAGGGACACCCUGCACAUGCCCUCAAAGGAGGCAGGGAGUGGCCAGAGGAUCCACAAAUAGGCAGAUGCGCAGUCAAUGAUCCAUUUUUUCUCCCUGAACAGACUCUUGAAGUCUCAUCAGAAACAAACAUUUUGAGACACAAAUCCAGAUUUUGUUGACAGAAGAAAAUGCACUUUAACUAUAAAUGUGACUCACCAGGGAGGCAGGACGGGCAGUGUUUCUCAGAACAACUGAACAGGAGGGGAACGCUUGGAACCAGUGCCCUGAGCCCAGGUAAGGGAAGCUGGUGGGAGGGCUUCUAGUAACAGUGGAGAAGGAGGCUGGAGGCGGAGGAACAGCUGAGAAGCGCUGGAGGGGCUGGGUGGCCUCCAUCUGGGCACUCACCUGGGUGGGGGGCAGAGAGACCCAGCCCCCUGCACCAGAGCUCAAGACGCCUGCAGGAUGGCUGGACAGAUGACGAAGCUUUGCCCCAGGUGAGGGUUCCUAUCAAGCGCUGUCUCCCUGUGCCCGGGGCACCAUACAUCCAGCAGAAAGGUCACAUCCCUGAGGCAGGGCUGCCUUGUCAGUCAUCAGAACACUGCCUGGGCAUGCCCUCCAUGGUCCAGGUCACUUAUGACCCCUGAACUAGAACUGGCAGUUCUGCAGAAAAGAAGGCUGCCACCAGUACCUGAGCUCAGGUGGGUUGAAAGCGGUGAAGCAGCCCCACCUUUGGCCAGGUGUGGGCGCCAGGCCCUGGGCUCCAGAGCUGUGGACGGACCUGAGCCCCUCCGUCCACACCCCCUUCUUAAGUAAGGAACUCGGUCAUGCAGGGAACCUCCUUCUGCACCCCCCACAUGUAACCAGCAUAUUUUAGCAAAACCCCAGUAGAAGAGGAAAAAUAACCCUGUAGAGGCUCCAGAAAUUAAAUUAUCAUUGGAACUGCAAAUUUAGGCCUGGAGCUGACUGCGGAGAUGCAAGACGUAACUGCAACUCAGACUCUCCCAGUGUAAGGGACAGAGUGUCCAGGAAUCCACUGGAAAUCACAACAUGCAGGAGGAACACUCAGCUGUCCGCUCCGCUGAGAUGAUCCCGCAGCGGGGUACCUGGGGGAAAUUUACAGGAGCCGCCAUAAAGAUAAUUCAACAAC